GACAGUUCCUCUUCAGACCCUCUGAUGUCACGAAAAUGAAAAGUGACACAGCAGCUGCUGCGGUGAAGCAGAUGAACCCCUCCAUCAAGAUCACAGCCCAUCAGAACAGAGUUGGUCCAGAGACUGAGAGAGUCUACGAUGACGACUUCUUUGAAAAUCUAGACGGAGUCGCCAAUGCACUGGACAACGUCGAUGCGCGUAUGUACAUGGAUCGGCGGUGUGUUUACUACCGUAAACCCCUUGCUG